rnacentral:rRNA from 1 species
UAAUACCGCAUAGUAUCUGUGGAUUAAAGGUGGCUUUUGGGCUGUCGCAGAUGGAUGAGCCUGCGUUGGAUUAGCUAGUUGGUGGGGUAAGGGCCUACCAAGGCUACGAUCCAUAGCUGAUUUGAGAGGAUGAUCAGCCACAUUGGGACUGAGACACGGCCCAAACUCCUACGGGAGGCAGCAGUGGGGAAUAUUGGACAAUGGGGGUAACCCUGAUCCAGCAAUGUCGUGUGUGUGAAGAAGGCCUUAGGGUUGUAAAGCACUUUAGUUGGGGAGGAAAGCUUUGAGGUUAAUAGCCUUGAGGAAGGACGUUACCAAAAGAAUAAGCACCGGCUAACUCCGUGCCAGCAGCCGCGGUAAUACGGGGGGUGCAAGCGUUAACCGGAAUUACUGGGCGUAAAGGGUCUGUAGGUGGUUUGUUAAGUCAGAUGUGAAAGCCCAGGGCUCAACCUUGGAACUGCAUUUGAUACUGGCAAACUAGAGUACGGUAGAGGAAUGGGGAAUUUCUGGUGUAGCGGUGAAAUGCGUAGAGAUCAGAAGGAACACCAAUGGCGAAGGCAACAUUUUGGACCUGUACUGACACUGAGGGACGAAAGCGUGGGGAUCAAACAGGAUUAGAUACCCUGGUAGUCCACGCUGUAAACGAUGAAUACUAGCUGUUGGGGUCGGUGUAAAGGCUCUAGUGGCGCAGCUAACGCGAUAAGUAUUCCGCCUGGGGACUACGGCCGCAAGGCUAAAACUCAAAGGAAUUGACGGGGACCCGCACAAGCGGUGGAGCAUGUGGUUUAAUUCGAUGCAACGCGAAGAACCUUACCUGGUCUUGACAUCCUGCGAGCUUUCUAGAGAUAGAUUGGUGCCUUCGGGAACGCAGUGACAGGUGCUGCACGGCUGUCGUCAGCUCGUGUUGUGAAAUGUUGGGUUAAGUCCCGCAACGAGCGCAACCCCUAUUGAUAGUUACUGUCAUUAAGUUGGGUACUCUAUUGAAACUGCCGCUGAUAAGGCGGAGGAAGGUGGGGACGACGUCAAGUCAUCAUGGCCCUUACGACCAGGGCUACACACGUGCUACAAUGGGUAUUACAGAGGGCUGCGAAGGAGCGAUCU